rnacentral:rRNA from 1 species
GCCACAUUGGGACUGAGACACGGCCCAAACUCCUACGGGAGGCUGCAGUAGGGAAUCUUCCACAAUGGGCGAAAGCCUGAUGGAGCAACGCCGCGUGUGUGAUGAAGGCUUUCGGGUCGUAAAGCACUGUUGUAUGGGAAGAAAAGUUAAGGUAGGGAAUGACCUUAGCCUGACGGUACCAUACCAGAAAGGGACGGCUAAAUACGUGCCAGCAGCCGCGGUAAUACGUAUGUCCCGAGCGUUAUCCGGAUUUAUUGGGCGUAAAGCGAGCGCAGACGGUUGGUUAAGUCUGAUGUGAAAGCCCGGAGCUCAACUCCGGAAAGGCAUUGGAAACUGGUUAACUUGAGUGCAGUAGAGGUAAGUGGAACUCCAUGUGUAGCGGUGGAAUGCGUAGAUAUAUGGAAGAACACCAGCGGCGAAGGCGGCUUACUGGACUGUAACUGACGUUGAGGCUCGAAAGUGUGGGUAGCAAACAGGAUUAGAUACCCUGGUAGUCCACACCGUAAACGAUGAACACUAGGUGUUAGGAGGUUUCCGCCUCUUAGUGCCGAAGCUAACGCAUUAAGUGUUCCGCCUGGGGAGUACGACCGCAAGGUUGAAACUCAAAGGAAUUGACGGGGACCCGCACAAGCGGUGGAGCAUGUGGUUUAAUUCGAAGCAACGCGAAGAACCUUACCAGGUCUUGACAUCCUUUGAAGCUUUUAGAAAUAGAAGUGUUCUCUUCGGAGACAAAGUGACAGGUGGUGCAUGGUCGUCGUCAGCUCGUGUCGUGAGAUGUUGGGUUAAGUCCCGCAACGAGCGCAACCCUUAUUGUUAGUUGCCAGCAUUCAGAUGGGCACUCUAGCGAGACUGCCGGUGACAAACCGGAGGAAGGCGGGGACGACGUCAGAUCAUCAUGCCCCUUAUGACCUGGGCUACACACGUGCUACAAUGGCGUAUACAACGAGUUGCCAACCUGCGAAGGUGAGCUAAUCUCUUAAAGUACGUCUCAGUUCGGACUGCAGUCUGCAACUCGACUGCACGAAGUCGGAAUCGCUAGUAAUCGCGGAUCAGCACGCCGCGGUGAAUACGUUCCCGGGUCUUGUACACACCGCCCGUCACACCAUGGAAGUUUGUAAUGCCCAAAGCCGGUGGCCUAACCGUAAGGAGGAACC